UCGUCACACUAUCAUUAACUGAAUCCAUAGGUUAAUGAGGCGAACCGGGGGAACUGAAACAUCUAAGUACCCCGAGGAAAAGAAAUCAACCGAGAUUCCCCCAGUAGCGGCGAGCGAACGGGGAGGAGCCCAGAGCCUGAAUCAGCAUGUGUGUUAGUGGAAGCGUCUGGAAAGGCGCGCGAUACAGGGUGACAGCCCCGUACACAAAAGCGCAUGUGCUGUGAGCUCGAUGAGUAGGGCGGGACACGUGGUAUCCUGUCUGAAUAUGGGGGGACCAUCCUCCAAGGCUAAAUACUCCUGACUGACCGAUAGUGAACCAGUACCGUGAGGGAAAGGCGAAAAGAACCCCGGCGAGGGGAGUGAAAAAGAACCUGAAACCGUGUACGUACAAGCAGUGGGAGCACAGGUUUACCUGUGUGACUGCGUACCUUUUGUAUAAUGGGUCAGCGACUUAUAUUCUGUAGCAAGGUUAACCGAAUAGGGGAGCCGGAGGGAAACCGAGUCUUAAUUGGGCGUUAAGUUGCAGGGUAUAGACCCGAAACCCGGUGAUCUAGCCAUGGGCAGGUUGAAGGUUGGGUAACACUAACUGGAGGACCGAACCGACUAAUGUUGAAAAAUUAGCGGAUGACCUGUGGCUGGGGGUGAAAGGCCAAUCAAACCGGGAGAUAGCUGGUUCUCCCCGAAAGCUAUUUAGGUAGCGCCUCGUGAAUUCAUCUCCGGGGGUAGAGCACUGUUUCGGCUAGGGGGCCAUCCCGGCUUACCAACCCGAUGCAAACUGCGAAUACCGGAGAAUGUUAUCACGGGAGACACACGGCGGGUGCUAACGUCCGUCGUGAAGAGGGAAACAACCCAGACCGCCAGCUAAGGUCCCAAAGUCAUGGUUAAGUGGGAAACGAUGUGGGAAGGCCCAGACAGCCAGGAUGUUGGCUUAGAAGCAGCCAUCAUUUAAAGAAAGCGUAAUAGCUCACUGGUCGAGUCGGCCUGCGCGGAAGAUGUAACGGGGCUAAACCAUGCACCGAAGCUGCGGCAGCGACGCUUAUGCGUUGUUGGGUAGGGGAGCGUUCUGUAAGCCUGUGAAGGUGGCCUGUGAGGGUUGCUGGAGGUAUCAGAAGUGCGAAUGCUGACAUAAGUAACGAUAAAGCGGGUGAAAAGCCCGCUCGCCGGAAGACCAAGGGUUCCUGUCCAACGUUAAUCGGGGCAGGGUGAGUCGACCCCUAAGGCGAGGCCGAAAGGCGUAGUCGAUGGGAAACGGGUUAAUAUUCCCGUACUUGGUGUUACUGCGAAGGGGGGACGGAGAAGGCUAUGUUGGCCGGGCGACGGUUGUCCCGGUUUAAGCGUGUAGGUGUGUGUUCCAGGUAAAUCCGGUUCACUUUAACACUGAGGCGUGAUGACGAGGCACUACGGUGCUGAAGUAACAAAUGCCCUGCUUCCAGGAAAAGCCUCUAAGCAUCAGGUAACAUCAAAUCGUACCCCAAACCGACACAGGUGGUCAGGUAGAGAAUACCAAGGCGCUUGAGAGAACUCGGGUGAAGGAACUAGGCAAAAUGGUGCCGUAACUUCGGGAGAAGGCACGCUGACAC
rnacentral:rRNA from 1 species